rnacentral:lncRNA from 1 species
UCGCUGACCCUGUCAACUCAACAAGCGCCUCGACCCAACAGUAAGCAAGCAAAGUGGAUUCGCAGAUCACAAUUCACCUUCAAUUGGGUGCUGCCAUUGUUAGCUACAUAAUCCAUCGAUUAAUUGUUCAGAUAGAGUCAGAGUUGGUAUGUAUGGAUCCCACCAGGAAACUAGUUGUAAGCAGCAAGUGAUGACUUGUUAGUGAUUUCUAAUUUUGAGUUGUACUCCGUGAUAUUCAUUUCCGUAAUAGCACUAGUGGUGGUUCGUUACUUUGGUAUCAUCAGCAAUUGGAAGGACGUAAUGUGGUGUACUAGUAAUUGCAUUGCUCUUGAUGCUCAGUAUGUUCGUUGAUGCUAGUACAUUCGUUCACAUACAUCCCUAUUGGAAUCUCAAUGCUAGUACCAGCUUCAGUGCAUACAAUUUCUUGCUAUUUUUUCUCUAGAAGAUGUUUUUGCUAGCUAACCGCAGUGGCGAGUGCCAGUACUGCUUGGUCGCGUUGUAGCUGGUUGACAUGUGGGGCCGGGACCAAAAGGUUUCGAAAACCCUAGCACCGUGUGGUCUUGCCAGAGGGUGUUGCGUAGUUCGUCACUUGUUUCCUGAUUCCUCGUGGGGUUGGCGUGUCUGGGAGACCCGAGUGAGAUAACUGAAUGGCAUACAUGCAUCCAAACCCUUGUGGUCCCUAUCGUCGUCCUGGAGCGUCCCAGGGUUCGCUGACGCCGCAUGGUCCAUACGCUUUCUGGGUGUGAGUGGGGCUAAUGGAUGGGCACAAUUCGUGCACACGUUUUUUAUGGGAUCAAGUCGGGUUAUUUCUUUGUUCUACCAGAGAGACUAUUCCUACAGUUUUCAUGUCUUUUGUGACAAUGCUAUGUUUUGCACUUCCAAACCUAUCAGAUUCAUUUCUUAUUCGUAUUCCUAAUACCUUUGAUUCAUCUCAAGUCAUUUAUUGUCUAUUUGAAAUGAUGUAUUUCAUAAUAAAUUUCCAUGCAACUCGACCAAAAGAUUCGUAGCAUAUCUCCAACCCAAAAUAGGUGGCAUAAAUUUCAAACGAUUUACCCAAAGCAAUUGUUUUUUAUGGCUGAUGCUUAUAGCUGUUGAGGAGGAACUAUCGUUACAAUGUCGUGCUGCAAGUGUCAUCCGUAAAGCAAUUUCACUCGAACUUUUUCGUGUCAUCUAAGCCAUUUCCACUCGAUCGUUACGAGGCAUCUUUUCUAAUCGGAUGCAGCUGUAGGCCUUGCUCAUAUGUCAAUGGUCCAAGGACACAAGUAAAUCAGGGAGACUUUUAUGAGAUCCCACAUUUAGGUGAGAUCGUGAGAUCAACCUAAAAAAGGAAAUCAUAUUUAGAUUAAAAACUUCUGAAUUAUUUGACAACAUCCACGUGGGGUAUGUUUACAUCUCCAAAAAAUCAGAUCUAAACUCAAUGUACAAAAUUGCUACUAUUCACAUUCAAAUUUGUCCUUUUUUUUUCUAUUAAUGUAAGUUGAAUUUGAAGCUGAAUUUUUUUAAGGUUGUACAUCAAACAUUGUUGUGUGUUUAAAAAAUUGAAAAUAUUCAAACAUUUUUUUAAAUGGAUCUCAUAGAAAUCAUGUAAUAGAUAUCACAAGUAUAAAUGGCCAUCCUUUUGGCCGGGCCUAACCAAGCCCGAGGAAGAAAAUCUAGACCCGGGCCUGGCCUGGCCGUCAGGCCUACGUUUCAAGCCGAAGCCUAGCCCGUUAGAGGAAAAUCCCUCCGGGCCUCGGGCCGAGCCUCUUCCCUAAACAAAAUACCCAAGACCAGACCCGGCCCAAUGUGUGCUUCAGGCUCAAAACUUAGGCCCAUGCCCAGCCCUCGGGCAAGCCCGGGCCAAGUUGGGUCGAGCUUUUUUGGGCCGGGUCGGGUCGGGCCGGACGGGCCGGGUAUCCGUUGAGCAGGUAUACUCACAAGUCUCCUAAGUAGAUCGGCAGUUCGGCACAUGAUCCCUAGAAAAAAAGUAGAUCGGCACACGAGAUGCCGAGCCGCCUAGGAAACCCCCUCAAAANNNNNNNNNNNNNNNNNNNNNNNNNNNNNNNNNNNNNNNNNNNNNNNNNNNNNNNNNNNNNNNNNNNNNNNNNNNNNNNNNNNNNNNNNNNNNNNNNNNNNNNNNNNNNNNNNNNNNNNNNNNNNNNNNNNNNNNCCUUAAAAUUCCCCUCAAAACUCCUCUGCCAAACGAGGCCUCAAGAAAAAAACGAGACGCGCCGAGGAAACCCUCGCGCAUCAAUCACAACUGCCUCCGCCGCCGACCAUGGCGGGCGCUCUCGCAAUCGCGUCCGCCGCCGGUUCUUACGACCGCGAUUGGGCGGGGCUGCCGGAGGAAAUACUCCUGAUGUUCAUGCGGGAGCUGGAGAUCCCCGACCUCGUCCGCUCAGGUGCUGUCUGCGCCUCGUGGCAUGCUGCUUACCUAGCCGUCCGCCGCCAUCGCUUCCCCCUUCCAAUCCCCCGGAAUCAGCUCCCCUGCCUGCUCUACGCAUGCCGCAACUCCGCCGCAGACAGCGCCGUCGUCUGCUGCCCCUUUACCGGCGAUUCCGUGCGAGUCCCCCUGCCGCAGCCCCCGCUCNNNNNNNNNNNNNNNNNNNNNNNNNNNNNNNNNNNNNNNNNNNNNNNNNNNNNNNNNNNNNNNNNNNNNNNNNNNNNNNNNNNNNNNNNNNNNNNNNNNNNNNNNNNNNNNNNNNNNNNNNNNNNNNNNNNNNNNNNNNNNNNNNNNNNNNNGCCGCCAUCGCUUCCCCCUUCCGAUCCCCCGGAAUCAGCUCCCCUGCCUGGUCUACGCAUGCCGCAAUUCCGCCGCAGACGGCGCCGUCGUCUGCUGCCCCUUCACCGGCGACUCCGUCCGAGUCCCCCUGCCGCAGCCCCCGCUCACCCGCCACUCCACGGUCGGCUCCGCGCACGGCUGGCUCGUCACCGCCGACGAGGCCUCCAACCUCCACCUCCUCAAUCCUAUCACGGGCGCCCACGUCGCGCUCCCGCCCAUCGCCACUCUCCACCACGUCGAGAGCUGCACCGACGCCCAAGGCCGCCUCAUGUACAACGUCUUCGACAGGGGCGAUCCCGAGCCGACCCCCUUUGACGCGCGCGAGGCCAGGGACUGCAUGUACCACCGUGUCACCCUCUCCUGCAGCCCGGCGGCUGGGAGCGCCUGCAUCGUGCUGCUGGUGCACAUGCCGAUCGGCGAGCUCUCCUACGCCCCGCUCGGCGACGAGCGGUGGACCUGGAUCUCGCCCGACGACCACCAGCUCAUGGCCAUCAGCUGGGGCUUCAUGGACUCUUUCUACAAUGAGGAUGAUGGUUUGUUCUAUGUGCUUCGCAGCCACAGAUCGGUUUUCACCCUCAAUUUCAAUGGGCCAUCUCUUGUUGUCAAAAAGAUCAUGCGCAGAGUUAGGAAGGGGGAUGAUCCUUCUAGCAUGUACAUCAUGCAAGCUCCAUGGGGUGAUAUUUUGCAAAUAUGGAGGUGGAGGAGCUACGUCGAUUCAUCAACACCCGUGGAGCUUCCUAGAGAUCUGCUGGGUCACAACGAAGAUGACAUAGACCGGUAUAUUGAGCUCAGAACAACUGAAAUAGAGGUCUAUAAGGUGGACCUUGAGAACCAGGCACUUGUGAAGAUGACAAGCUUAGCGGAUCAUGCACUAUUCCUUGGUUAUAAUAGCUCCAUGUGCUUUGCCACUAAAGAUUUUCCAACACUGAAGCCGAACUGUGUCUAUAUCACGGAUGACUCUGUUGAGUAUGUCAACAUGUGUAAGCAUAACUGGCGAGAAAUCGGAGUUUGGGAUAUAGAAAACAAGAGUCUGCAGACUUUUGAUAGUGUUUUGCUUACUAAUUCCUGGAUGAACUGGCCUUCUCCGGUUUGGAUAACACCCUCCCUUUUCUAGUAAGUGACUUUUUAUUUAGUGAUGCCAUUGUAGACAUUGCAGACUUGUUUUGGCUUUCAUUAUUGUCAAAUUUUUCGUUGUAUUACAGCUUAACAGUUUGAGUUUUGUCCCACAACUAUAUCAAUUCUCUCUAUAUAUAUAUUAAGUUAUGAACUUUUCCCUAUGUAUCACUGGAUAAUUUUUGGCUUGAUUAUUGUCAUUUUUUUGUUGUAUUACAGAUUAGUAAUUUGAUUUUCCCCCCACAAUUAAAUCAAUUUUCUCUAUAUAUUAGUUCCUAUGUAUUAGUGGAUAACAAUUUUGGGUUCUGUUAACACCAUUCCACUAAUCUCUUGUUAGAGCCAUGUAGUUUAUGUAAAGACCAGUCUAAUUCGCUUUUGGGACCAGAGUGAAUGACAAUAACUUUCUAUUCGUGUUUGGCACCAAAGUGAAGGAUAGUAAUGACAACUUUUCAUGUGAUUUAACAGAACUCCACUAACAUUAGGUUUUACACACCAGUAUUAAGAGCUCAAAACUUGUACUCCCUCCGUUCCGAAUUACUUGUCUUGGAUUUGUCUAGAUACGGAGGUAUCUAGCACUAAAAUGAGUCUAGAUACAUCCGUAUCUAGACAAAUCCAAGACAAGUAAUUCGGAACGGAGGGAGUAGGAAAUAACCCGUUUUUCAACUGAAAUAUUCUUACUAUUUGAACUAGUCAUCAACCAGUGCAGAUGGAUGUGCUAAAAUUUUCAGUAAUACAUUAACUGUAAAGGAGGUUUACUUUAACACAAGGACAUGCUUUUAAAAAUUAUUACAUCUAAAAACUAUUACCGCCACUUCCUAUUAUGUCCAAGUUCCGGUCCUUCCCGAUUUCUUCGCACCAAGUAAAUCGAUCUGUUAUACACUUUGGUCCUCAGCAGUAAAUGGAGUUUCUUCCUUGCCACAAAUGGUGUGGUUUGCAAUCCAAAAAAUGAACCAAAAAUCCACCUGAAUAGCUUAUUAUGGAAGAAUACAGAUCUUGGUAUUUUCAUUAAAGUAAUACCAAAAUGGCAGCAAAGGUCAGCAUCAUGGUGUCGAAAGUUUUUCUUUAUAAAGGAUACGUACAACAGAAGAAUCCAGAGGAGAUGACACCCAGCAUGCUCCUCUUUCUGAAGCAAACUUCUUGUCUAUGUACACAAUGGUAGCAUGGAAUGGGCACUGGUAGUGCAAUGAUUCCAAGGCCUUCUACUGAGCCAGAUAUUUAUGCAGUAUGUACAAACCAAAGUAUAUAAUACACGCUAAGCUGGUGGGGCUAGAAUUGCAUAACUGAUCACUACAUAUAAUUGCAUAGAAAGUCCAUCACAAUAGAUGUGAAAGCGAUACAGAGACUAACAUUAUUUGUUAUUACUGCUGGGGAGUGGGGAUAGUACUCAUCUUUCUCCGCUGGAUGCACCAUCCGAGUAAAAAUAGACACCAUUACAUUUUCUCUACACAUUAUGCAUGGAACAGGGGUAAUAGAAGGAAGGGUCCCAUCAAAACCUUAUUAAAUUAUUGAGUCUAGCAUGUUUCUCUCUGUUUUAACACACCAUGGAACACAUGAAUCAAUUUAUCUUGGGAGAAGGGAGCACUCCUGCAAGGCAUAGUAUGUAUGUAUAUAAAGAAAACACAGUAAAAUUCCAAUUGAAGUAGCACCCAGACCUUUUUAGUAUUUUACAUUUAGGGCAAAGCUAGCGUGAAUAUGGUACAGCUAAUAUUUGGAAUCACAUCAACACAAUAAGCUACAUAAAUAAACAUGGAUAUUUAUAUCUUUAUUGAUUAACCUCAAAAAUCUGUAUGGCAUUCAGUGUUUACUAAAUAGAACAAAAUCUUAAAAUGAUUUGUACAGUUAGUGAUUAUCCUCUGUAGAAGUUCUGCAAAAUUGUUGGUAAAAGGCAAUCUCACUAAAUAUAGCAGUAUCUUCUGUGUAUAAACCUCAUGCUCUUAACGGCUUGAACUUUUGCAUGAUAAAGCACAAAUGCUCCAGAAAGAUUCACCAAUUAGAUCUCACUGAUCAUUUAGAAUCAUAUAUCUAGUCUCUCACUUUGCUUGAGUCAUGUGGAACACCAUGGCUCUCUCUGUUCUCAAACAUUAGAUCAUCGUAAUGAAGCAAUGGUAACAUGCCUGAAACAAAAGAUGAUGGCCUAGGAACAAUCAAAUAAGGUUCCCCACACAGUUUAACAUCCAUACCUAUUAUACUGAACUUCCUUGAUCAUUGUGGAAAGCGGUGACCAAUGAUCUCAAGUACCAAUUAAUUAAUCAUAUGAAUCAAUGAUCACACACCUGAAACAAAAGGCAAAAAUUAGAUAUUAGCUUGUAAUCCGUGAGCGCUCCUAUUGGCAGAAAACAUGAAGUGCUCCACCUCAAAGCUGGCCUUCCAUUUCAUUUCAGGUACUCAACUAGCAGAGAAAGGCGCACAAAAUUCUAAUUACAAAUGGAUUUUUUCAGCUCAAUUAAACAACAAUCUAGAGCUGAAGUAUGUAUGCAUUGGACCCUAAAGACUUGAAGCCAUUGAAUAGCUGCUGCGAUGCUCAGAUUUCUGUUUUUGGUUCUAAGCUUCAUAAGAAGAUGCGAGACUCUAAUAUUUUUGUUGUGGGAUCUGGUGCUCUUGGAUGUGAAUUCUUGAAGAACUUUGCUUUAAUGGGGCUUUCUUGUGGCCGUAAAGGGAAGCUAACUAUAACAGAUGAUUAUGUCAUUGAAAAAAGCAACUUGAGCCGGCAAUUCCUGUUUCGUGAUUGGAACAUUGGACAGGCAAAAUCUACAGUAUCCGCUACAGCUGCUAGUGCUAUCAACUCCAGCCUCCAUAUUGAUGCUCUGCAGAAUCGUGCCUGUCCAGAGACUGAACUUGUUCUCAAUGAUGCAUUCUUGGAGGGCCUUGAUGCUGUGAUCAAUGCACUUGAUAAUGUCAAUGCUAGGAUCUACGUGGACAUGGGAUGCCUGUACUUCCAGAAACCAUUCUUGGAAUCUGGAACGCUGGGUCCCAAAUGUAAUACACAGAUGGUGAUUCCUCACCUUACUGAAAACUAUGGAGCUUCACGAGAUCCUCCUGAGAAACAGGCACCAAUGUGCACAGUUCAUUAUUUUCCGCACAAUAUUGACCAUUGUCUAACAUGGGCUCGCUCAAAAUUUGAGGGUCUGCUAGAGAAAACUCCAAAUGAAGUGAACUCAUUUAUAUCUAAUCCUGCUGAAUAUGCUGCUGCUAUGAGAAAGGCAGGUGAUGCUCAAGCCAGGUAAUUGUUGGAGCGUGUACGUGAAUGCCUGACUGAAGUACUACAUUCCCCUUUGAAUUCAACAAUUUGUUAUUGGCUUUCUUCCUCUUUCUUUUCAUCUUAGCUAUUUGAAGUUAAAAUGGUUUCACUUUGAUUAUAUAUUGCCAACAAAUAGGACAGUAUCUUUUGUGCUCCAGAUGCCAUGUAAUAACAUCUGUUUUCUUUUGCUACGUUUGAAGAUUACUUCUCUAAUCGUGUGAAGCAGCUAACAUUCGCAUUUCCUGAGGAUGCUGCUACUAGCACUGGUGCUUCUUACUGGUCUGCCCCUAAGCGUUUCCCUCACCCGGUGCAAUUCUCAGCUGUUGAUUCAUCUCACAUUCAAUUUAUACUGGCUUCUUCCAUAUUGAGAGCGGUGUCUUUUGGGAUCCCCAUACCGGACUGGGUGAAUAACAUACCGGACUGGGUGUCUUUUGGGAUCCCCGUACCGGAUUGGCCGAUAUAGUAAGUAAGGUUGCAGUGCCUGAAUUUGAGCCAAAGAGUGGGGUUAAGAUUGAAACAGAUGAGAAGGCUACUAACCUCUCCAGUGCCUCAGUUGACGAUACUGCUGUUAUCUAAGACCUUUUAACCAAGCUGGAAGCAUGUGCCAAGAAACUACCUUCAGGAUUCCAAAUGAAGCCUCUUUUUAACUGCUUCUGAUGUGUUAGAGUAUUCAAGAGGUUGACAAGCUGAAGGCGAAGUUCAUUGCAGGAAGAAUCAUUCCAGCUAUUGCAACUACGACGGCCUUGACUAUUGUAUUUUUUUAGUUUGAAAAAUAUUCUGUAAAAAAAGAUGAAAUGGUCACAGGCUUUGUGUGCCUUGAGCUUUAAAAGGUUCUGGCACACAGUUGAAGACUACCGCAAUACGUUUCACAGGAAGCAUUUUGAUGUUGUGGCUUGCGAGGAUGACAACGGGAACGACAUUUAUAUAUCUCUUAUCUCCAUUUACUUCCAAUAGGCAGGCGCCGUCACUCUAUUGUGAGGAUAGAUGAUGAGUGUGCAAAGAAUUCCUGUGGAGAGCUGUUUGAAGCACGCCUGGUGAUCGCUUAUGGUGUUAGCGCCCAUCUCCAUCGCGUUUUCUGUGGGUCCUUCCGCUCUGUUGUUGAAUGCCAACUAUUUGCAGGUGUGCGAUGCUGUCUGAUGUUUUGAUGAAUGAACCAUAGCAUGUUAUCCACUGGUUAGCAUUGGAUUGAUAUUUUUGGGGUUGCUGGAUGAUGUGUUCAUUGGGUCAUUGCAAUUGUCGUUUACCUAGUACCUCACUGCAACCAUCACAUUAUUCUUCCUUGCAACUCUUUAUCCCUGGAGUUGAUCUAUGAACAUAUUGUUGUUGUGGUUAAGCAAAACUGUAUCUAGCAGUUUUGCAUUUGUUUUUCAACUUGGCUGAUCCCCUUUUCAUUGCUUUGACAUAACAGAAAUACAAGAGCUAGCCAGUUCCAAGCGAGGUUCAGGAAGCAGGAAAGGGGAAAGAGCUGAGUUCAGCGCACCGCUGGGAAGCCUACUACAUGUGCUAAUCGAAACACAUGCUAUGGAGCGAAAACUUAAAGGCGACAAAUGCUCCCGUUGGCCGGCACCACCCCUCGGGAGGCGGUAGACCCAGGCGGCGGGGAGGUGCGGCGGUGUUGGUGGUGGCUGGAUCCGGACGGAAUCGGUUGGAUUCAGUGCGGCAGCGGCGGCGACAGGAUUUGGCAGCGGGGGGCUGUGGUAAGGAGGCGGUUGGGCGGCGAGGGGUGGAUUGGCGUUUUUGGGCAGCAACCUUCCAAUAUAUGCAUCCGGUUGUGCCCUGUUUUUGGGCUACCCAAAAACGUUUUUGAUCAUGUUGAAGUUUUUGGGCAGCUAUUGGAGAGGUUUUUUGGCCUCCAAAAGCCGCAAAAGGCAGUGUUGCCCUAUUGUUGGAGACGCUCUUAUGAGCAUGGUUACUAUAUCCAGUUUUGUAUGGCAUGCACAAUUUUAGAUUGUCAAUUUGACUACCGAAACACGUCUUGCACGCCAUUAAAAAUAUAUCCUUAGACUCGCUGCCGAAUGAAGCUUUAAAGUAUUUUGUUUUUGUUUUUAUAAGAUCAUUGGACAUGAAGGUAAAUGUGUAGAUCAGCAUUGCAUCGUAUGCACUUUUUUUCCUACACAGAAAGGUACACUGAAACAUUAGUUUUAAAAACGGUGAUCCAUGCAAUGGUCUAGAGGGAGAAAUUCAUAGAGAAAUGGAGUGUACACACACGACUUUCUCCUGCAAAAAAGAAAGGAAGAAAGUAAACAUAAAACAGAAAAAACACACCGUUUUAUAAAUAAAUCCAAAAAAUGNNNNNNNNNNNNNNNNNNNNNNNNNNNNNNNNNNNNNNNNNNNNNNNNNNNNNNNNNNNNNNNNNNNNNNNNNNNNNNNNNNNNNNNNNNNNNNNNNNNNNNNNNNNNNNNNNNNNNNNNNNNNNNNNNNNNNNNNNNNNNNNNNNNNNNNNNNNNNNNNNNNNNNNNNNNNNNNNNNNNNNNNNNNNNNNNNNNNNNNNNNNNNNNNNNNNNNNNNNNNNNNCAAACCCACCCUCGUCCUCGUCGUAUCUCAGAUCUCGUCCUCACCACAUCAGAUCGUACCCCUCUCACUGCCGCCGCAGCCAGAUCUAGAGCGGCUGCAAAAGCGGCGAUCGUGGGUGCGACAUCCCCCCUGACCAUGGUGAACCCGGCGGAGCCGUCGCCUGCGGCUUUCCCAUCAGAUCUCACCAAGGAAGGUGGCGCUAGGGAGGCGGGUGGCGGGGCCGUGGAGGUAGAUCCAACGCCGUCCAGCGCCCAUCGAGGGAGGCUGAUGUUGCUGCCAUCAAUGCUCAAGCCCUGGGGGAGCCAACGACGGCUGCGGUGCGUUCCCGUCAACCGCCAUGGCGAAACCAUCGCCCCGGACACGGGAUCCUCCUCGAAUCAGCAAUAUGAGGUCAGCGAGAGGCUACAGCUUGACCUUGGCAAGGUGGCAAAGGCAUCGGGCACCGGCAACCCCGUAGUCAACAAGUACCCUGAGGUCACCGAGGCGGUUUCUCCACAACCGUUGAAGGCACGCCCUGGCCGCCCGCGUCGCCUUGCUAUGCCAUCCCUCGUGGCCACGAUCGCCGCGAGUGCGCCGCCACAGGCGUUCGAGCGCAAGCGGCGGUCGAUCCGCGCGGAUGCGCUCAAGAGGCCACGAUUCUCUGUAUCACUCUCCGCGGAGGAGAUUGAGGAAGACAUCUACGGCCUCACCGGUGCACUCCCGCGUAGCCGCCCUCGCGGUCGGCCCCGCAAAGUGCAAAAGCAGAUCGACGUGAGUUCCCGUGCCUCCUCUGCUCCCUCCCCCGACCCCCUUACAUUCCAGCCCCUGCCGCUCCUCCCUAGGUACCCGUUUUUAAUUCCAUAAACGCUCCUGUCCCCAGCUGCUAUUUCCCGGCGCGCGGUUAUCGCAGAUCAACAUGGAGUCCUACCUGGUGCCGGACAAUCGCUGACCCUGUAAACUCAACAAACGCCUCCACCCAACAGUAAGCAAGCAAAGUGAAUUCGCAGAUCACAAUUCACAUUCAAUUCGGUGCUACCAUUGUUAGCUACAUAAUCCAUCGACUGAUUGUUCAGAUAGAGUCAGAGUUGGUAUGUAUGGAUCCCACCAGGAAACUAGUUGUAAGCAUCAAGUGAUGACCUGUUAGUGAUUUUUAAUUUUGAGUUGUACUCAGUGAUAGUCAUUUCCGUAAUAGCACUAUUGGUGGUUCGUUACUUUGGUAUCAUCAGCAACUGAAAGGACGUAAUGUGGUGUACUAGUAUUUCACUGUCCUCGAUGCUCCAGUUAGUAUGUUCGUUGAUGUCUAUCCCCUAUUGCAAUCUUAAUGCUAGUAUUCAUCCUAU